rnacentral:rRNA from 1 species
GAUGAACGCUAGCUACAGGCUUAACACCUGAAGGGGCAUCCUUUUGGGUUGAAAGUUCCGGCGGUUUGAGAUGGACAUGCGUUGUAUUAGCUAGUUGGUGGGGUAACGGCUCACCAAGGCGACGAUACAUAGGGGGACUGAGAGGUUAACCCCCCACAUUGGUACUGAGACACGGACCAAACUCCUACGGGAGGCAGCAGUGAGGAAUAUUGGUCAAUGGACGCAAGUCUGAACCAGCCAUGCCGCGUGCAGGAUGACGGCUCUAUGAGUUGUAAACUGCUUUUGUAUGAGGGUAAUAUCAGGUACGUGUACCUGCUUGAAAGUAUCAUACGAAUAAGGAUCGGCUAACUCCGUG